UCACGUGGUGCCAUGGCGGGGUGUAUGUUAUUGUUAUUUGAUCAAAGCUGACGCAGUCGGGUUGUGCUGUGGGCCACCAUUUCUGCCAGCAGAUGACAUUUAGUGGCUCCAAGAUUGCUGCCUCACUGUGGUGCAGGAACCUCAUUCCCAACACAACUAUCAGCUUCAGUGACAAGGAGAUUUAUGCUGCUGCCAUUGGAAUGAAUACAGUGUUGUCAGAUUCUUCUGUGUAUCGUAAAGCAUUUGUAUGCUCACACAAAUUGGUGUUCCUUGACAUUGUGCCCUGUGCAGUUAAUUUCCCCGUCAUACCUAAAGACAUAUUUUCGAGAGAUGAAGCCAGUGGAAUGGUAACUAGGAAGCUGAGCACUGUUGUAUUCAUCUGUCACAUCAGCCAAUUUGAACAGUGAUCUCUACCAUCAAGUUCCCUUUUGAGUGUCUUCAGCGUGUUCUACUACUGGUGCUAAUGAAAAUAGUAUGUGUGUGAAGAAUCUGUGAGUGAGUUCACAUGAAAGUGAAACUGGACACUAUUACAGAAGUGUCACAGACAGUAGCAGAAACUGUGUCCAAGAAAACUGAAGUGACUAGAUAGAAGAUUCUUGCCAAACCUCUUACGUGAUGGAUGAUACCUGGAAUAUGAAAUACAGGAGCUGCGCGCUGCCCCACUUCCACGAGAAUAUCACCACCAAAAUAUGUGGCGUGGCUGAUGGAGAACAUUUUACACUGUACUGCGAGGCCACCCUGAAGUGCUAGACACCAGUUCUGGCCUGAUGAUAUAGCUGUGCAGUGGGAACAGUGUGGAUAGAGACGGUACCCUCAGCAUCACUUCACAGCUUCAAGUGCCAUCAAAGGACCUGUGCUGAUGGACACCAGAAAAGCCGUUUCUUCCAUUCCGUGUUACGCUGCUGGGUGCGACAGUGGGACUGGUACAAUAAUGAAAACAACCUUCUGCGGAUGAGCAUUGCUGAGUCUAUCAGAAUUUCUUCUGUUAGUAUGCGGUCACCACCAGGUCACACUCUGUUGCUAGGUGUACUGGACAUUCCAGACUUCUCGGCAUCUCGGAUUGAUCCUUGUCAUCGUGAUGUCACUGGGUCACGUCCCAGCCUGUGUACUUCUUAUCACAAGGCAGUGGAUGUUUGACACUAAAGAUGGCACUUCAGCUUCCUUACUGAGAGGAAAUUAGUGACAGGCAGAUGGAUCCUGACCAAAGCCCUAAAGUAUCCGUAGCUACAGUUCUUCAGUUUAAUAUUUGGCAUCAGUUUUAUGGGGAAAAAUGGCAUUCCACUGGGAGCUGCUUUUCAGUUUUAAAAGUGAUAGAAAAUGUUGCAGGCACUACAGAAAAUAUGAAUCUUCACCUGUGUGUUCACUCAGUUGCCAUGUACUUUUUAGGACCGUAGUAAUAGUGUCACUCAGUUAAUGGAAUACAUUAUUAAAUUAUGUGUAUAGUGCUAAAUGAAAUGAACAGUAUUAAGGACGACAAUGACAACAACAACAGGCAUAAUAGAUCAGUCAGUGAAGAGUAAAUUGAUAAUUAUUUCUUCAUCCCAUCAGACAAGUUAAUUGUCGAUCAAUGUAUUUAUAGAAGUGUCUUGCUUAACAUUUGAAGUGAGUUUGAUAGGACGAAAACUGUAUUAAAUAGUUAAUUUUUGGCAUACACUUUUGUUGCUGCAACAGUAUAUGUUUCAAGAAAUGAGUGAAACCUAAAUUACAUAACCUAACUAUCCAUUUGAUGGAAUUGUGUGCAUUUUAUGUAAAGUGCACCAGUGUGUCAUUUCUUUAAUAUUGUGUUUUGAUAUUUCUUACUUUAUCAAUUUCUAUCCUGAAUUUGCAUGCAGCAUUGUGUAACACUUUUUUGUAAUUCAGAUGUCAGUCAUUACUGGUAAAGAAUUCACAGGUUGUUUGUAUUUAGUAUUUUGUUUAAAUGGUACUAUUUCUUGAGCUUUAAUAUGUCAGUUUCAUUACAAUAAUAGCGUGAAAGGAAAGUUUUGCAGAUGUAGAGAAGGUACUGCAAGGAGGUCCAUUCUGGAUUUUCCAUUGUUUGAUUUCAUUAUAAUAACUAUUUGAAAAUCGCACUCAUUUGCUGGCUUGCAGUAUAUGUAACAUAAGUAAAAUGUGUAUAUUGAUUGAUUUUACAUUUAUCUGCCAAACAUUCUCAUCAUUUUGUUACUACCUUCAUACCAAAUAAAUCAUUGAUUGUAUAUACUUAUUGAUCUCUUUUUACAUUUGUGUUGCCUAUUACUGUUAGAAAUAGACAUCCCCCAUGUAUGUUCACAGUGUUACCCAAUGAUGAUGUA